rnacentral:rRNA from 1 species
GUGAGGAAUACAUGGGUAACGUGCCCCGGACUCAGGGAUAGCGGCGGGAUCUUCGGAUCCCUUUGCGAAAGUGCCGGUAAUACCUGAUGACCCAGCGGAUCGCAUGGUCUUGCUGGCAAAGGUCCGCCGGUCCGGGAUCGGCCCACGUCCUAUCAGCUUGUUGGUGAGGUAAUGGCUCACCAAGGCUUCGACGGGUAUCGGGCGUGAGAGCGUGACCCGACACAUCGGAACUGAGACACUGUCCGGACACCUACGGGUGGCUGCAGCAACGAAUCUUCCGCAAUGGGCGAAAGCCUGACGGAGCGACGCCGCGUGGAGGAUGAAGUCCCUUGGGAUGUAAACUCCUGUCAGGGGUUAGGAAGAUCUGACCAACCCCAAAGGAAGCACCGGCUAACUCCGUGCCAGCAGCCGCGGUAAUACGGAGGGUGCAAGCGUUGUUCGGAUUCAUUGGGCUUAAAGCGCGCGUAGGCGGGGUGGCGGGUGCCUUGUGAAAUCCCUCGGCUCAACCGAGGAACUGCUCGGCAAACCUCCACUCUUGAGGCAGGUAGAGGCGACUGGAACCUUUGGUGGAGCGGUGAAAUGCGUAGAGAUCAAAGGGAACACCGAUGGCGAAAGCGAGUCGCUGGGCCUGUCCUGACGCUGAGGUGCGAAAGCGUG